rnacentral:misc_RNA from 1 species
GAUGAAGAACGCAGCGAAAUGCGAUAAGUAAUGUGAAUUGCAGAAUUCAGUGAAUCAUCGAAUCUUUGAACGCACAUUGCGCCCGCGAGUAUUCUCGCGGGCAUGCCUGUCCGAGCGUCAUUUCAACCCUCAGGCCCCCGGGCCUGGCGUUGGGGAUCGGCGGAGCCCCCCGUGGGCACACGCCGUCCCCCAAAUACAGUGGCGGUCCCGCCGCAGCUUCCAUCGCGUAGUAGCUAACACCUCGCGACUGGAGAGCGGCGCGGCCACGCCGUAAAACACCCAACUCUUCUGAAGUUGACCUCGAAUCAGGUAGGAAUACCCGCUGAACUUAAGCAUAUCAAUAAGCGGAGGA